GACGAACGCUGGCGGCGUGCUUAACACAUGCAAGUCGAACGGUGAACGAGGGAGCUUGCUCCCUCCGGAUCAGUGGAACGGGUGAGUAACACGUGAGCAAUCUGCCCCGAACUCUGGGAUAAGCGUUGGAAACGACGUCUAAUACCGGAUACGACGCGGGAGUGCAUCCUCUCCGCGUGGAAAGAACUUCGGUUCGGGAUGAGCUCGCGGCCUAUCAGCUUGUUGGUGAGGUAACGGCUCACCAAGGCGACGACGGGUAGCCGGCCUGAGAGGGUGACCGGCCACACUGGGACUGAGACACGGCCCAGACUCCUACGGGAGGCAGCAGUGGGGAAUAUUGCACAAUGGGCGCAAGCCUGAUGCAGCAACGCCGCGUGAGGGACGACGGCCUUCGGGUUGUAAACCUCUUUUAGCAGGGAAGAAGCGAAAGUGACGGUACCUGCAGAAAAAGCACCGGCUAACUACGUG
rnacentral:rRNA from 1 species